rnacentral:rRNA from 1 species
AUUGAACGCUGGCGGCAGGCCUAACACAUGCAAGUCGAGCGGAUGACGGGAGCUUGCUCCUUGAUUCAGCGGCGGACGGGUGAGUAAUGCCUAGGAAUCUGCCUGGUAGUGGGGGACAACGUUUCGAAAGGAACGCUAAUACCGCAUACGUCCUACGGGACAAAGCAGGGGACCUUCGGGCCUUGCGCUAUCAGAGGCGCCUAGGUCGGAUUAGCUAGUAGGUGAGGUAAUGGCUCACGUAGGCGACGAUCCGUAACUGGUCUGAGAGGAUGAUCAGUCACACUGGAACUGAGACACGGUCCAGACUCCUACGGGAGGCAGCAGUGGGGAAUAUUGGACAAUGGGCGAAAGCCUGAUCCAGCCAUGCCGCGUGUGUGAAGAAGGUCUUCGGAUUGUAAAGCACUUUAAGUUGGGAGGAAGGGCAGUAAGCUAAUACCUUGCUGUUUUGACGUUACCGACAGAAUAAGCACCGGCUAACUCUGUGCCAGCCGCCGCAGUAAAAC